UACAGAGGGUGCUAGCGUUAAUCGGAUUUACUGGGCGUAAAGCGUGUGUAGGCGGUUCGUUAAGUCGGAUGUGAAAGCCCUGGGCUCAACCUAGGAAUUGCAUUCGAUACUGGCGGGCUAGAGUACGGUAGAGGGCGGCGGAAUUCCGGGUGUAGCGGUGAAAUGCGUAGAUAUCCGGGGGAACACCGAUGGCGAAGGCAACCGCCUGGGCCUGUACUGACGCUGAGACACGAAAGCGUGGGGAGCAAACAGG
rnacentral:rRNA from 1 species